rnacentral:rRNA from 1 species
UACGAAGGGGGCUAGCGUUGCUCGGAAUCACUGGGCGUAAAGGGUGCGUAGGCGGGUCUUUAAGUCAGGGGUGAAAUCCUGGAGCUCAACUCCAGAACUGCCUUUGAUACUGAGGAUCUUGAGUACGGGAGAGGUGAGUGGAACUGCGAGUGUAGAGGUGAAAUUCGUAGAUAUUCGCAAGAACACCAGUGGCGAAGGCGGCUCACUGGCCCGUUACUGACGCUGAGGCACGAAAGCGUGGGAGCAAACAGG